GUGGGGAAUAUUGGACAAUGGGCGAAAGCCUGAUCCAGCCAUGCCGCGUGUGUGAAGAAGGUCUUCGGAUUGUAAAGCACUUUAAGUUGGGAGGAUGGGCAGUAAGUUAAUACCUUGCUGUUUUGACGUUACCGACAGAAUAAGCACCGGCUAACUUCGUGCCAGCAGCCGCGGUAAUACGAAGGGUGCAAGCGUUAAUCGGAAUUACUGGGCGUAAAGCGCGCGUAGGUGGUUUUGUAAGUUGGAGGUGAAAUCCCCGGGCUCAACCUGGGAACUGCCUCCAAAACUGCAUGACUAGAGUACGGUAGAGGGUAGUGGAAUUUCCUGUGUAGCGGUGAAAUGCGUAGAUAUAGGAAGGAACACCAGUGGCGAAGGCGACUACCUGGACUGAUACUGACACUGAGGUGCGAAAGCGUGGGGAGCAAACAGGAUUAGAAACCCUAGUAGUCC
rnacentral:rRNA from 1 species